rnacentral:snoRNA from 1 species
GAACCUGAUGAUCAAUUUAUCAUACUUUGUAUGUUGGAAUUACCGGCUGAAAAAUAAUGCUGAGAAAAACUGGCUGUUUCUGAUC